UGGCUUCAACUAGCCUUUGAAAGUAUUGGAGAAGUUGUUCUGUUGAUUUUUGGCAGUGAAUAUGCUAAGUGCUCUGAGAACUGUAGCUUGAGAGUUAUAAUUUUAAUCCAUGAAUAAUAGUUCUCAUUUUGGUCCUUUUCUCAGAUGGGAAUUGAACAAAAAUAAAGGCAAACCAUUUUACAUCACAAGGUUUGCCACAAUGUUUGUUUGUUUGUUAGGUCUCCUGUGUGGCUUUAACAUCUGCUUGACAAUCAAGUGCAUUGUUUGCUGUUGCCAAUUUGCAGUGAUGGGAACGAUCAACAUCAGUUAAAUACCUCAGCUGUUAAAACAGGGGUGGGCAACUUUCUGAGGCCAAAAGGCACACAUAACUCUGCUGCAUCUGGAAGGACUGCACCUCCACCCAUACCUCCAUAAAAAACCCACCAAAACAAAAUCUUUUCAUAAUAGCUAGGAGCCAUGGAAGCAAUUUAAUGGAGCUCCAAUCUACAUAGUUUUCAAAUUUGGAAAUAACUGCACUUAAAACAGCUUUGUGAGGACAGGACUGAAAAAAAUUCCCCAUCAGCCAUGGAAAGUGCAAGGGGCUUUUUAAAAUGGGCUAUGUAGGGAUGUUUGGCCAUGGGUGCACCAUGGGGUUUCCUAGAGAGCUUUUUGUGUGUGUCAGGAACUUGCAAAUCGCUUCUGGUGUGAGAGAAUUGGCCAUCUGCAAGGAUGUUGCCCAGGGGAUGCUUGGAUGUUUUGAUGUUUUACCGUCCUUUUGGGAGGCUUCUCUCAGAUCCCUCCUAGGGUGCUGCAUGCAUAUUUAAAAGCGAUAGGGAUACCUAUUAGAACAGGUGACAACUGUAGUCUUUUCAGAUUGUGUUUUAUCCUAGGUAAAGUUAGCAAAUAAGAGAGCAUUCAUGCUCAUUUAAUUCAGCUUCACAACAGGAGUUUCUUGUUAAAUUAUAAUUUGUAGCAGUAGUACAUUUGAAUACUGUACUAUAACAUGAAACAUUUCCUCUGCUGAUUUUUUAAAAAUAUGUGUAUCACACAGACUUGUUACCAGAAGGUCGGUUACUAAGUCUAUUACAGUCGGAAUGAUGGUCCGGUACAGCUCAGGUUAUAGUACAAAGUGAUAAAUCUCUGCAGUUUUCUGUUUAUCCCAAAUUGUCUGGCAGUACAGACUCAUAUAAUCCAAUUUAAAGCAGAAAACCUGGGAUCAGAAACUGGAUAUAGGGCCUGUCUGGAAGGGCCCAAAGAUGCUACAAGAUCCUUUUGCUUAGCAAUUCAAUGCAUGGUCACUUCAAACCAAUUGUAAUUGAACUCAAUAAAGAUUAACCCCUGAAAAGUGUGUAUAGGAUUUCAAUCACCAGAAAACUGCUAUAUGGACAGAAUGUAUGUGCAAGUGCUGACUAGACACACAGAUGCAUUUAUCUACGUGCUCAUAAGGCAAAACACACUUGCUCACACCGAACAGCACAGAUUGAAUUCUCAUAUAGAUACAUAAGUACUUUCUGUAUAAGAUAUUUUGUACUUAUUUUUUCUUCAAUAUAUUUAAUGGGCUUGUGGAUUAGGUAGUUAGGAAAUUUUAUAGGUUAUGAUAUUCCAUUGAGGUGGAGAUUUCCAUCACAGUUUUCACUCUUUGUAGUUAAGGUGUUACUUUUAAUAACAGGCUAAAUUUGAGUGUGACGUAAAUGGUGAAAUAAUUUAAAUAUUUCUAAGUGGGUGUAAUGCUUGUGAUGACAUGGUGUGGGUUAGGGAAAAAUCCCCUUACAGAGGAAAAAUGUGUAAGAGCCACACUUCUUUACUGCAGUUAAUCUACUUUUCCUAAAACCUUCCUGACACCCUCUUUUACUGAAGUGUAAAAUAUGUAUAAUCUUUUUUCUUCAAUCCCAAAUAACAAAAACAUGCUUAUUUUGAGAAGAGGAAUGUUACCACACACAGAGGGAUAAUAUUGUUGCAAUUCUAUCUUGGUCUUUUGAAGUCCUUAAGGAUUGUUUCAUUCUACUUGUGUAGGUUUCUCCCCAUCAUCAUUGUAUUACCUCUUGAUAGGCAAAUAACCUCCAUGCUGUAUGGAGUGUGGUCAUUAUUUGAAUCAUAAAAUCAUAGAGUUGGAAGAGAACUCACAGGCUAUCCAGUCCAACCCCCUGCCAAGAAACAGGAAAAUCACAUUCAAAGCACCCCCGACAGAUGGCCAUCCAGCCUUUGCUUAAAACUCCUCAAAGAUGGAGCCUCCACCAAGAUGCCAUCUUCCUCAUUCUAGUUGUCCAGUCAUCAUCUCAUUGCACAGUUCUAUGUCUUGUUUAAUUAAAUUGUCUUCAUUCAUAUCGAUCAGAUCCAGCUUUCUCCUAACCAGCUUGCAGGUGUCAUAGACUAGCACAUUC